ACCACAGAUGGACUUCCAUUGAGGGACCACACGGUGAGCCCCAGAGAGGCUGACAAGGGCUUCCUCUCUCCUCCACCAGGACCCAAGGCCAGCUGCUUUCUCUCUGGAGCGCAGUCUUUGACUUGUACAGCCUGGAGGUUGUGUGACUCGUGGUUGGGCCUGUUUGGGAUAUACAGAUGACUCUUCAUAGAGAAGGCUUUGCCUCCUGGGUGAGCCCCUUGCUUCUUAGAGCUGGGCUGAGAGAAGCCCCAACUCUGCCACUGGAGUGCCUCCCUGCCCCCAUACUGGAUUGAACUCCACUGAAAACACUCACCAAGCUCAGCCUGUUUGGUGGCCCUCUUCCUGCCUGCCUUCCCUCGCUUAAACACAGUGUUUGUCAG
rnacentral:lncRNA from 1 species